CGGACUCCCAGACCCUCUUGCCUC
rnacentral:siRNA from 1 species